GACAGAGGUGCCAAGCGUUAGGCGGAAUCACUGGGCUUAAAGCGUGUGUAGGCGGGCGGGCAAGUACCUUGUGAAAUCCCACGGCUCAACCGUGGAACGGCUGGGUAUACUGCCUGUCUUGAGCCAGCUAGGGGCGACCGGAACAGACGGUGGAGCGGUGAAAUGCGUAGAUAUGUGGAGGAAUACCGAUGGCGAAGGCAGCCCCCUGGGAUAACACUGACGCUCAUGCACGAAAGCGUGGGGAGCAAACAGG
rnacentral:rRNA from 1 species